CCUUCUUUCUCUCUGUAGCCUCCCUGUGCCUGUCUCCUGCUCCCACCCCAGCACAACAGAGUCUAGGUCUGUUUUCCGCUGCUAAGUGUGUGAUAAUUUAUUAUGCAGCAAUAGAGCACUAACACACUCGGCCAGUGGCCCAGGCCUCAGUGUGCGGCACACUCUACUUAGCACCUCCACAUGUGUGAGUUCUGUCUUCUCAGCCCCACUCCGGUCCUUGAGGGUGGGAAUCUUCCUCCUUUAUCUCCUCUGUAUCUCCCACCCCUUGGUCCCAACUACAGGGUAAGGGUUCAAAAAAGUGCUCAUUUGAAUUCGGCAUAGCACUAAGUCAGUCAGAACUCUUCAGAGGCAAGUGACAGAAAGCCAUCUCUCAUCACUGGCUUCAGGCACAGCAGGAUAUAGGGCUGGGUCAAUGUAAUCAGGAUUCAACAUCUCUCAUGGCAUCUGUAUGGGCAGUAGGGCAUAGUGGUUAAGACCAUGGGCUCUGGAAUUGGGUUGCUGGAUAAAAUACAGGACACCCAGUUAAAUGCUUCAGUCUUUGUCUUUUUGCCGAAGUUCCAACAAAAGGCCCGAAGAGGAGUCCCA
ensembl:lncRNA novel transcript